UUGUAAUCGGUAGGGGAGCGUUCUAUAUGGGAAGAAGCACUAGCGGCAAGCAGGUGUGGACUGUAUAGAAGUGAGAAUGUCGGCUUGAGUAGCGCAAACAUUGGUGAGAAUCCAAUGCCCCGAAACCCCAAGGGUUCCAGAGCCAGGUUCGUCCACUCUGGGUUAGUCGGGACCUAAGGCGAGGUCGAACGGCGUAGUCGAUGGACACAGGGUCAACAAUCCCUGACUAAAGUAUGGGAGCAUUGCUAGGGACGCAUGAGUGGGGACUACACCCUGACUGGAUUGGGAGGAGUUUACGAACUCCGAGUAGUCGAAAUGAGUGCCAAGAAAAGCUAGUAAUGUGUUGAGCAUACUUUACCCGUACCCGAAACCGACACAGGUGGGGAGGUUGAGAAUACCAAGGGGCGCGAGAUAACUCUCUCUAAGGAACUCGGCAAAAUGGCCCCGUAACUUCGGAAGAAGGGGUGCCCACCUCAACAGGUGGGUCGCAGUGAAGAGAUCCAGGCGACUGUUUACCAAAAACACAGGUCUCCGCAAACUCGUAAGAGCAUGUAUGGGGGCUGACGCCUGCCCAGUGCCGGAAGGUUAAGGAAGUUGGUCAGGGGGCAACCCUAAAGCUGACGACCGAAGCCCCGGUGAACGGCGGCCGUAACUAUAACGGUCCUAAGGUAGCGAAAUUCCUUGUCGGGUAAGUUCCGACCCGCACGAAAGGCGUAACGAUCUGGAUGGUGUCUCGGAGAGAGACUCGGCGAAAUAGGAUUGUCUGUGAAGAUACGGACUACCUGCACCUGGACAGAAAGACCCUAUGAAGCUUUACUGUAACCUGGAAUGGUGUCCGGGCUGAGCUUGCGCAGGAUAGGUGGGAGGCGUUGAGGCAUUCCUUGUGGGGGAUGCGGAGCCAACGGUGAGAUACCACUCUAGUUCAGCUAGGAUUCUAACCCGCGACCGUGAUCCGGUCGGGAGACAGUUUCAGGCGGGCAGUUUGACUGGGGCGGUCGCCUCCUAAAAGAUAACGGAGGCGCGCAAAGGUUCCCUCAGCACGCUUGGAAACCGUGCGACGAGUGUAAAGGCAUAAAGGGAGCUUGACUGCAACACCAACAAGUGGAGCAGGUAGGAAACUAGGCCUUAGUGAUCCGACGGCGCAGCGUGGAAUGGCCGUCGCUCAACGGAUAAAAGUUACUCUAGGGAUAACAGGCUGAUCUCCCCCAAGAGUCCACAUCGACGGGGAGGUUUGGCAC
rnacentral:rRNA from 1 species